rnacentral:rRNA from 1 species
AGAGUUUGAUCAUGGCUCAGAACGAACGUUGGCGGCGUGGAUUAGGCAUGCAAGUCGAACGAAUCUCACUGCCGUAGCAAUACGGUGGUGGGGGAAGUGGCGAAAGGGGCAGUAACGCGUGGGUAACCUACCCUGGGGAUGGGCAUAGCCGUUCUAACGAGCGGGUAAUUCCCAGCGAUUCGGCGAGGGGGCAUCUCCUUGCCGGGAAACGAAUCUCGCCUCGGGAGGGGCUCACGUGCUAUUAGCUGGUUGGCGGGGUAACGGCCCACCAAGGCAAAGAUGGCUAGCGGGUGUGAGAGCACGACCCGCGCCACUGGCACUGAGACACUGGCCAGACACCUACGGGUGGCUGCAGUCGAGGAUCUUCGUCAAUGGGCGCAAGCCUGAACGAGCGACGCCGCGUGGGCGAUGAAGGCCUUCGGGUUGUAAAGCCCUGUCGAGGGGGAGAAAGGUCCGCAAGGACUUGAUCGAUCCCUGGAGGAAGCACGGGCUAAGUUCGUGCCAGCAGCCGCGGUAAGACGAACCGUGCGAACGUUGUUCGGAAUCACUGGGCUUAAAGGGCGCGUAGGCGGCUCGCGGGGUCGGGGGUGAAAGCCCGCAGCUUAACUGCGGAAGGGCCUUCGAUACCGGCGGGCUGGAGGAAGGUAGGGGUGCGCGGAACUUCUGGUGGAGCGGUGAAAUGCGUUGAUAUCAGAAGGAACGCCGGCGGCGAAAGCGGCGCACUGGACCUUUACUGACGCUGAGGCGCGAAAGCCAGGGGAGCAAACGGG